AGUGAACGCUGGCGGUAGGCCUAACACAUGCAAGUCGAACGGCAGCACAGUAAGAGCUUGCUCUUACGGGUGGCGAGUGGCGGACGGGUGAGGAAUACAUCGGAAUCUACUUUUUCGUGGGGGAUAACGUAGGGAAACUUACGCUAAUACCGCAUACGACCUACGGGUGAAAGCAGGGGAUCUUCGGACCUUGCGCGAUUGAAUGAGCCGAUGUCGGAUUAGCUAGUUGGCGGGGUAAAGGCCCACCAAGGCGACGAUCCGUAGCUGGUCUGAGAGGAUGAUCAGCCACACUGGAACUGAGACACGGUCCAGACUCCUACGGGAGGCAGCAGUGGGGAAUAUUGGACAAUGGGCGCAAGCCUGAUCCAGCCAUAGCGCGUGGGUGAAGAAGGCCUUCGGGUUGUAAAGCCCUUUUGUUGGGAAAGAAAAGCAGCAGGUUAAUACCCCGCUGUUCUGACGGUACCCAAAGAAUAAGCACCGGCUAACUUCGUG
rnacentral:rRNA from 1 species